rnacentral:rRNA from 1 species
CCUACGGGAGGCAGCAGUGAGGAAUAUUGGUCAAUGGGCGCGAGCCUGAACCAGCCAAGUCGCGUGAGGGAAGACGGCCCUACGGGUUGUAAACCUCUUUUGCCGGGGAGCAACGGGCGCCACGUGUGGCGCCACUGAGAGUACCCGGAGAAAAAGUAUCGGCUAACUCCGUGCCAGCAGCCGCGGUAAUACGGAGGAUGCGUGCGUUAUCCGGAUUUAUUGGGUUUAAGGGGUGCGUAGGCGGAGCGUUAAGUCAGUGGUAAAAUUGAGGGGCUAAACCCCUUCCCGCCAUUGAAACUGGCGCUCUUGAGUGGAAGAGAGGUAGGCGGAAUGCGUGGUGUAGCGGUGAAAUGCAUAGAUAUCACGCAGAACACCGAUUGCGAAGGCAGCAUGCCGGCUUCCGACUGACGCUGAAGCACGAAAGCGUGGGGAUCGAACAGGAUUAGAUACCCGAGUAGUC